GGUUCCAUGAAGAAAACAGAAGUGUCUGUUCUAAGUCAUGUAAACUACCCAAAAGCAUCCUGCCAAACAUGAAAAAAAUAAAGCUGCUGUUCUUGGUGUUUUCAGUCACAAUAUUAGCCAUGGGAAUUCAGCUUGUCAGAAAUUCGGGUUUUGCUGUUAUUAUAGAAUGAAAAGAUGGCAUUUUGCUGCUGUGGAAUGGUAAUAAUAUGCACAAUGGAAUCUCAAGUCCUACUUCUUGGACCUCUUCAGUACAAACACCUAAACCAAAUUGUGUUCGUCAUUCAAAAGUAUGAGAGAAGAAGACAAAAAUCAGAACAAUCAGCCAGCUUUGCAGCCAACAAAAUUCAAAGGAUAUCUCCAGGAAAUAGAAGGGGACAGUGCAAAGCAGAUUCCUGUGGCUCCACAUUGGCUGCAUUUGCACGUCUUCACUUUAAAGAAUCACCAGAAUGA
rnacentral:lncRNA from 13 species